rnacentral:lncRNA from 1 species
GUUCAAGCUGUGCUAUUGCAGCAACUUGCCACACCUGGCAGACCUCGAUAGUGAUGACAGGAAGCACCUGGAAGGUGCAUUAAAUAGGAGCCAGGCUCACCAAGAAACAUGAGACUGAACCUGCAAUGUACAUCUACUGUACCCUGAAAUUCCCUUGCCCUGCAGGAAAGAUUUCCUGCACCCUUGAACCUACAGUGCCUGGAUUAGAGUGAGCAGGGAGGGAGAAGAGGUGGCUCUUGGCAGAACAGAAAAGGAAGGAAAUGAAGGCUACUCCUCUUGGCUCUCCAUUGUAUUCCAGAUGUCUUGGCUGCCAUGGAGGAAUUGCAAUGCAUCCAUGCAAGGGGAGAGUUUGAAUGAAGUCCCCCACUGUCACAAAUUAUGCAGUCAAGUUUCUGGCAUUUGCAGAAAUCGCAGGAAUCAGCCCAUUGAGUAAAAUGGAUAAGAUAAGCAUCACUCUGAGGAAACCACCCUUAAUAACAGAAUCAACUCUGCCAGGUGAUUGCAGCUACUCCAAGGAGGAGACAGAGAAAUUUCUACUGACUGGAAUUCCUUUGCUGGCUUUGUGGGAGUAGAGAGUUCCACCAGUAAUUAUGAAUGUGGUCCUGGAGGUGAUGAACCAUCAGAGUCACCCUGACCACUCUUCUCUAAGGAAUGUGGAGACAAAACUGUUCUUUGGAAAAAUGAGAGACAGAGGAAAUCUUACACCUAAAUGGGUGCACAAAAAAGGAAGAAGAGAGAAAGAGUCAGAGACACAGAGACAGAGAGAGACAGACAGACAGACAGACAGAAUGAGAGCUCUGCCACUAAUAAUAUGCUGCUUUUCCAAGUUGGCCUGGAGGUAGAAGUAGAGGGAGGGGGGAUGGGUAGGGUGAAUGUUUUCUAAUACAUGCACUGAGCUCCUUAGCACAUUGUAUUUGCCCCUGUGUUAAAGUAAUGGCUCUAUUGGUAUGCGGAUAAAUAUUUAACCAGAGGUUCUUUCUGAAAAAAAAAAAUAAAGGUACACAAGACACACUUUUAAG